GAUGAAGAACGCAGCGAAAUGCGAUACUUGGUGUGAAUUGCAGAAUCCCGUGAACCAUCGAGUCUUUGAACGCAAGUUGCGCCCGAAGCCAUUAGGCCGAGGGCACGCCUGCCUGGGCGUCACACGUCGUUGCCCCCCCCAUCUACUCCUUCGGGAUUGCGGGGGGCGGAUGAUGGCCUCCCGUGCGCCUCGCCGCGCGGUUGGCAUAAAUGCCAAGUCCUCGGCGACGCACGCCACGACAAUCGGUGGUUGCGAAACCGCGGUUGCCCGUCGUGUGCGGUCGUCGCGCAUCGAGGGCUCGAAAAAAUUGCCGAGUUCCGGCUCGGCUUUCAACGCGACCCCAGGUCAGGCGGGGUUACCCGCUGAAUUUAAGCAUAUCAAUAAGCGGAGGA
rnacentral:misc_RNA from 1 species